AUUAGGUUAACCAAGUUGAGCAAGCAGAGCAAUUGAGCCAGUCUCUGUCACGAGCUCUGCUUGAGACAAGCCUUGUGUUGACUCGAUCUUCACCUUGACCCUCAAGACAGCUCCCAAUAGGCGCAUGAGCUUUUACAUUUUUUAGUCAUGAUAGUGAGUUGUGUAUUUAAUUUUUCAGUGGUAUAUAAAUAAUUAUUUAUAUAAGAGUAAUUGGCUUAUCAAAGUCAUAAAUUUAUUUAUUUUUGCAAAGCUACAAUAACAAGUAAAUAGCUCGAAGUCAAGCUUCAUAUACUUAACCUUUAGGUCAGCUCCUGCGUAGAGAUACUGGAGUUGAUUGAACCAAAGUCGUAUAUAGAUCUUCCUCUAGCUUGAACAUUCUCAAAGUUCAACUCUUUGUUGCAGCUCUAUUGAGCUUCACGCCAAAGGUUAGGUCUGUGUAUCUGCUCCUCCUAGAGUUGCUAAGGUGGACUCUCUGAAGGAAACCCUUUAUUAGUAAGGUUGAGGAUAAGUCACAAAACUUUAACAACUAUAAAAUCAAAGUUUGAACUGAAAUUAGGAUCUGCUUUCCAGUUUUACCAUGUACCCUGUAUUUUCGUUAUCUAAAGAGAUAUUUGCCUCUAAGCAGUAUUGUAUUCCUUAAUGUUAAUAUAUAUAUGUGAUUUAUUCUUUCUCUGGGGCUUCAUGCUUUGCCUAAUCUCAUAAUGCAACACUACUAGUGAAGUUAGAUAUCGAAGUCUCGCCUCGCUUUAGCUUUGUCAUUGAUAGUGACCUAGUUCAAUCCUUGCUGUCUCUGUGCUACAAACUUAAAGUAUGUAAUUUUGCUUCAUUAUUAAGCAGUUAUGUGGAGGUAGAGCUUCGGAGGGCGUGUUUAUUGGUGCCUUUCUCUCAAUGUCAUCUACAGCGGUGGUAUAUAAAUUUUUGAUGGAGAAGAACUCUACCAGUGCCCUUCACGGUCAAGUUACCAUAGGCACUCUCAUUUUGCAGGACUGUGCUGUGGGAUUACUGUUUGCUCUGCUUCCAGUCCUGGGUGGAACCUCUGGUGUUCUGCAGGGAGCAAUAUCGAUGACUAAAUCGUAAGUUCAUAAUUGCUACAAUAGGUUGUAAAUAUCAAUCUAUUUCACAAGUAAUAUGAAACCAUGGAAGAUUUUUUAACCAGAAAUUGUCAUGUCAGUUUCUUUCUUCAUUUCUUAAAGACUGGAUCUCCUGGAAAGGGGAAAGCAGGAAUCUAUAGUUUUUUGAAUUUUAAAAGGAGAU